rnacentral:lncRNA from 1 species
UUCAUAUUAUCUAAAAUAAAAAUAUGGUAAUUAUACAAAUACUUUAUGUAUCUUAUUAAUUAGGUUAACAUUAUUAUUAAACUAUUAUCGUGAAAUUGAGUUCUUCGUUUGAUUUGUCUGAAUUUUUAUGUCGAGAUCAAAAUCCAGAUUUCAAUCGGAAUAGACUGGCUUGUCAUGAUCCGACUUUUUUCGAACAAAAAAGCUUUUCUGUUUGAAUCUUU